rnacentral:lncRNA from 10 species
GAUGUGGAGUCAGACCCCAUGGGACGUGAAUUCUGACUGCUUCAUUCCAGUUGAAUCAUCUUGUCAAGUUACUUUAUCGGCCUGUGGGCUUUUCUUUCCUCAUCUCUAAAACAGGGAGUAGUUGAGAGACUGAGGAAUAAAGAUAUGGAAAUCCCAGUGUAAAGCCUGGUACCGGGGAUACUUUUAUCCUUGAGAUAGACCCUGCCUCCUGCCCUGCAGGCAGUGACCACAGCAGCAUGGCCAGCCUUCCAUGAUGCAGGCAUGUCUGUCUUCUCUCAGAGUGUGAAGAGUGCAAAGACCUUAUAGAAUCUGUGCUGGAGGAGGAGCUGCAGUUUCAGGAGAGGGAGCUGACCAAAUUGCCAAGGCCAGCAGCAAGGCUCCGGAUACAUGAUCCCUUAAUUCAGGCUCAGGCUGAAGAACUGACCCACUUACGACAGAAGAUACAAGAAGGGAGAGGUGUCUGCUACCUUUUCACCCAGCAUGUGAAGAACACAGUCAAGUCUUUUGAGGGCCUUCUCAGGAACACUGGCAUUGCCUACUACCAGAGACAGAGAUUCUGUGAGCAAAUGGUACAAGGAAGCCAGCUAACAGAGAUCCUUGUCAGAAAACUUGCCACAGGUAAGUUGGCUACAGGCUCUGAAGACCCUUAGCUCCUCCCAAGUGCCCCAAAGUGGGGAGAAAAAAUGCAAAGUUAUCUCCAUUGUAGAUUUUAUUUUAGUUUUGACUAUGGUCCUUAAUCUGCAUUCUAUUGUUUUCUCUUUAGAGCACUCAGGUAAUCACUUUUCAUAUUCUUUCAAGAGUCCUGAGUUUUGUUUUUUAUUUUGAGACAGAGUCUGCUCUCUAACCCGAGCUAGAGUGCAGUGACGCGAUCUUGGCUGACUGCAGUCUGUGCCUCCUGGGCUCAAGCAGUCAUCCCACCUCAGCCUCCCAAGUAGCUGGGACUACAGGUGUGUGCCACCACACCUGGCUAAUUUUCAUAUUUUUUGUAGAGACAGGGUUUCUCCAUGUUGCCCAGGCUGGUCUUGAACUACUGAGCUCAAGUGACCCAUCUGCUGUGGCCUCCCAAAGUUCUGGGAUUACAGAUAUGAGCCACUGUGCCUGGCCUGAGAGUUCUUAGUUUCAAUCAGUAAGAGAGGUAGAGUAUAGUGGAUUACUUCAUCUUGAUGAGCAUAAGAACUCACCUUCAUUUCUGGAAGAUAUUUUCACUGGAUGUAGGAUUCUAGUUGACAGUUUGUGUUUUUAAAAAGUGUUUGAAAAGUGAUAUUCCACUGUCUUCUGGCUUACAUUGUUUCCAACAAGAAGUCUUCCAUAAUUCUUAUUUUUGUUCCUCUGUACAUAAUAUGUCUUUUUCUCUGGCCGCUUUUGAGAUUUUCUGUUUAUCACUGGUUUGAAGCAGUUUGAUUAAGGUAAGACCAUGUAUAGUUUUAUCUUUU